rnacentral:tRNA from 1 species
UAGGUGCCGGGGCUUCUCCCGUUUUAGAGAGAACGGGAGAAGG